AUUGAACGCUGGCGGCAGGCUUAACACAUGCAAGUCGAGCGAGCGGCGGACGGGUGAGUAAUGUCUGGGAAACUGCCUGAUGGAGGGGGAUAACUACUGGAAACGGUAGCUACUACCGCAUACCAUCAGAUGUGCCCAGAUGGGAUUAGCUAGUAGGUGGGGUAAUGACUCGCCUAGGCGCCGAUCCCUAGCUGGUCUGAGAGGUUGACAAGCGACACGUGAACGGGGACAGGGUCCAGACUCCUACGAGAGGGAGCAGUGGGGAAUAUUGCACAAUGGGCGAAAGCCUGAUGCAGCCAUGCGGCGUGUGUGAAGAAGGCCUUCGGGUUGUAAAGAACUUUCAGCGAGGAGGCGUUACUCGCAGAAGAAGCACCGGCUAACUCCGUGCCAGCAGCCGCGGUAAUUC
rnacentral:rRNA from 1 species